GAUGAACGCUGGCGGCGUGCCUAAUACAUGCAAGUCGAGCGAACGGACGAGAAGCUUGCUUCUCUGAUGUUAGCGGCGGACGGGUGAGUAACACGUGGAUCACCUACCUAUAAGACUGGGAUAACUUCGGGAAACCGUAGCUAAUACCGGAUAAUAUUUUGAACCGCAUGGUUCAAAAGUGAAAGACGGUCUUGCUGUCACUUAUAGAUGGAUCCGCGCUGCAUUAGCUAGUUGGUAAGGUAACGGCUUACCAAGGCAACGAUGCAUAGCCGACCUGAGAGGGGGAUCGCCCACAUGGGAACUGAGACACGGUCCAGACUCCUACGGUAGGCAGCAGUAGGGAAUCUGCCGCAAUGGGCGAAAGCCUGACGGAGCAACGCCGCGUGAGUGAUGAAGGUCUUCGGAUCGGAAAACUCUGUUAUGAGGGAAGAACAUAUGUGUAAUUAACUGUGCACAGCUUGACGGUACCUAAUCAGAAAGCCACGGCUAACUACGUG
rnacentral:rRNA from 1 species